GGCUAGGGGUCCAAUCGGAGCUGUAGCCACCGGCCUACGCCAGAGCCACAGCAAUGCGGGAUCCGAGCCGCGUCUGCAACCUACACCACAGCUCACGGCAACACCGGAUUGUUAACCCACUGAGCAUGGGCAUGGGCCGAACCCGCAACCUCAUGGUUCCUAGUUGGAUUCGUUAACCACUGCGCCACGAUGGGAACUCCAAGGAAAUUUCUAUUUGAGGGAUUAAUUUUUCCUCCUGCUUCCUUGCUGGUGUCAUUUUCCUUUAUAACUGCAUUGUUCUGUGUGUACAAGAGGUCUCUCAAAUGUAAUCUUUGAUACAUUAGUAAUGUAUUGAUAUAAAAUAAGAUGUACUUUAUUUUUUUAAGUUUUACUUACCGAUCAUAUAUCAAACAAAAUGACAAAAUAAUCUUUCGAAACCCCAAGGAAGAUUAUGGAAUUUUAUAAUAAUACGGAAAGGUUUGGAGAUUCAAGUUUAAAGAUGGAUGAUGCAAGGAAUAGCAGAAUUACUAAAAUGGAAAAUUAGAGCAGUCUAAAUUGUCAAGGUUUAUUAGACUAAUUGAUUGUGGGCUUUCAUUUUAAUAGCAAACGUCACUCUCAUGUUAGUCUUUCUCUGUUCCUAUGGUAUCAUGGUUUAGAUGCCUGUGAACCAGUAACAUCUAAUUUGCUGUUAGAAGCCGUUUGCACAUACCCUGUGUGGAACCAGCACCUCCUGACACGCCCUCUCCGUGUUGGUUUUCCUCCCUCCCACUCACUGACAUUUGUUGGUGCUGCCGCAGGGGGCUGAGUGGGCCGGCCUGGGGCUGGCUCUCACCUCCUGGCUCUCCUGCUGCAUAGGACACCUGUCUGGGAUGCCCAGUGCCAGCUCCCAGGACUCAGCACCUCAUCACUCAGGAGCAUGUGCCUCCAGGCACUGGAGGCCUUGCAAGCUGCCAGUUCUUUCCAGUUGGUACUUUUUAGUGGUACGUGUUCAUAUCUCAGACUUACGCUGUUAGAAGUGCCAUUUAAAUUUUGUUAAAAACCCACCUCCAUGUGACCUCACCUGAACUUGUGAUGAGUGGGGGCAGGGAAGAAGCUAGGCUGAGUAGACCUGGAAGCUCUGAUAUGGAACUUGCUCCUCUUCCUUCUCCCUCCAGAGUGCUCUGAGUCCUGGCUCUGAGAGAUUCCAAUCAUUGCACAUUCUUGUCCUUUUUUUUUAUUAUUUUUUAAUUUUUUUAUUACUCAAAUGAAUUUAUCACAUCUUUGAGAAGGCCUCAGCACAGCCCUUGGGCUUAGGUGACAACGGAAGAAAAGAUCCAUUCUGUAUCUGCUAUGAGUUGAAUUGUCUCCUCCCCAAAUGCAUGUAUUGAAGCCCUACCCUCUCCUCGCCCUGCCCCAGGACCUCAGACUGUAAGUGUAUUUGAGAUAAGGCCUUCAAAGAUGUAAUUAAAUUAAAAUGGGCUAGUUAGAGCAGGUCCUCAACUAAUAUGACUGGUGUCCUUAUAAGAAGAGGACAUUUGCAUACAGAGGAAGAGAGAAAGAGGAGACAUAUAUGCACACAGUGGGCUGAGCUGUGAGGGAGCAGCAAGAGGGUGGCUGUCGGCAAGCCGAGGAGAGAUGCCUCAGAAGCUGUACCUGCCAAAACCUUGACCUUGAACUUCCAGCCUCUAGAACCUUGAGAAAAUACAUUUCUGCUGUUUUGAGAACCUUCUGUUGUUUAAGCCACCCCCAUCUUUAGUAUUUUUGUUGCAACAGCCUUCACAAACUAACAGAAUUUUUAUUCAACAAAUCCUGACUCUUCCCCUGCUGCUCUUGGGGACAGAGGAAGAAGGCAUUCAUUCUGGCUUGGGUAUGUAGUCCUGAUCACUUGAUUCUGUGUGUCUUUGAUUUUAUGACACUGGUGCUAUCAAGGAAUGAUUGCCACUCAUCUUUCUGAGUUCUAAACUAUUUGGAUAUCAAACUUGGAUGGAAAGCUAGGGAGGGACAUCAGGGAGGCUGUAAUUAGGAGAAUUUCACAGGUGUGCAAGAAUAUCAUUGUGUAGGAUGAGAGCUGAGAUAUACUGAUAAGGGCCAGUUGCUACAAGUGAUGGCAGUGAAAAGCUGGAAGUUCUGGUUUGCCAAAAAAUCUGACACCCUAAUAAAGAUCUUAACUUUAGAGAUUAAAAUUUGAAGUCCCUUGGUUGGGCAAAGCUUCAUAAAUGGAAACCUUUCUUUUCAUUUUUAUAUGUUUCCACCCACCUCUUCAAUGCCAUCAUUAUCCUUGGUAUCUCUAGCAGCAGAAUUCUUUAACUCAAAAUACUCAAAUCCUGAUGGAUUUGGUUCUGACCUAAGUCUCAGGUUGUGGACUCUACCUCGUUCAUUCACCAUUUCUAUGUCUAAGUUUUCUUCACCUAAGAAGAGAGAGAAUUACUGCUCCCUACUUGACAGAGAUGUGAUUUUGAUGGUGUAGGUAUCAAUUUUGAGAAAGAGAGUGGAGUUCAGAAAGGCCGUUUUCCCCACUGAACUUGGAUGUGAGAAAGUGAUGUAGCCUAUUUUAGCUUCAGUUCCCUCAUCUGUAAAAUGGACAUGGUAAUAAUUGCAAGAGUACUGUGAGGAUUCAGCAAGAACAUAUGGAAAGCACCUUGCAUCAAUCCUUGAAUAUUUAAGAGCUUAAUAUAUGUUAGCCAUUCAUCAUGAUUGUGGUGAUGACAUCACUAACAAGAGGCAAUUUCACUGCUCUUGAUGUCCUUCUGACAUAUUGUUAUGACCCAUGAAAGGAACAUCUGCUUUAAGACUCAGGUUGGUUAAAACCAUCUAAGACGAGGGGUCUAGGAUUUAGGAAACUGUAUGGAGGUAUAAGUGCAGAAUGAGGUCUUUUUCCUUUAACCUAUAUGCUAAAAUCUCAGGGUAUGGCAAAAAGCAGCCUUUCACCAACUUUUAUAUGCAUAUAAAUUCCCUGGAGAUCUUGUUAAAAGGCAGAUUCCGAUCUGGUAGAUUCUUUCUUUCUUUCUUUCUUUCUUUCUUUCUUUCUUUCUUUCUUUCUUUCUUUCUUUCUUUCUUUCUUUUGUCUUUUUAGGGCGGCACCCACAGCAUGUGGAAGUUCCCAGGCUAGGGGUUGAAUCAGAGCUACAGCUGCCAGCCUAUGCCACAGCCACAGCAACACAGGAUCUGAGCCACGUCUGUGACCUACACCACGGCUCACGGCAGCACUGGAUCCUUAACCCACUGAGCGAGGCGGGGGAUGGAAUACGAGUUGGGCUUAUUACCCCUGAGCCAUGAUGGGAACUCUGGAUUCUGCACUUCUAACAAGUUCCUGGAUGAUGGUGCGGCGUCUGCUCCAGCUUGGCCCUGGAGUGGGUGGUGGAGCUGACUGUGAUCCCAAUUCACUUGUCAAUUUCAUUUUUUUAAAUCCAAUAAUAACCAAUUAUUAUUUUCUAUUGCUUUGCAUUCAACUUCAGAACAAUUUUGUUUUCAUUUUUCAUCUUAAAUUGACAGGGCUCUUACUGCUUUCCCAUCCCUGGUCUCUCUGUCUGGUGCUUAAAUAAUGCCUUUUUAAGAAAACAAAAUAAGACCAACAAUGACUAAUAUUUAUAUAAAGGUUUCUAUGUGCCAGGAACUGUUUACUGAAAUUCUUGCGACACCUGGUAAGGUAGGCGUGUUAAUUAUCCACAUCUUACAGGUGAGAAAGCUGCGGCAGGUAAAGCUAAAAUAACUUCCUUAGAUGCUCACAUAGUGCAUGGGAACUAGGAUUAUUUUAGGAGUCUAUUUAAAGGAGCCUUUUGUAAAUCAGAGACCCUGGGGAGAGCUGGAACAGUCCAGUCUAAGGUAUAAGUUUUUGUUACUCAUCAUUUGGUUUCAUCAUUUUUUACGAAAUGGGGACCCCACCCUCCUAGAGGCAGCAAUGGUGGUAUUUAUGCAGAAUGCAACCCCAGACUAACUGUGGAGGCUGGUUAAGUCUGGUAUCAUGAUGAGUACCUAGCAUGACCCUGGGGCAAGACCUCAGACAGGGAGCUCAGCUGUGGUUUGCAAAGGAACAAAGAUCCCAGCAAGCAGGACAGAUCCUGCUUCCAUUCUGAUUUGAGUGUAAAUUCAACUUUUGUCAAGCAAAGAUUUUUAAAUUGAUUUAUGGUCAACUUCGGAAGGUUUUUAUUUUUUGUUGUAAAUUGGCAGGGCCCUUGCUACUUUUCUGCCCCCAGUCUCUCAAUCUAGCACUUUAAAAUGUUGAGGGUAUUUCUCACUGUGGCGCGGUGGGAUUGGCGGCGUCACUGCAGCGCUAGAAUGCGGGUUUGAUCCCUGGUCUAGUACAGUAGUUUAAAGGAGCUGAUGUUGUUGCAGCUGCCAUGUAGGUCACAACUGUGGCUCGGAUCUGAUCCCUGGCCCAGGAACUCCAUAUGCUGUGGGGUGGCCAGAAAAAAGAAAAGAAAAGAAAUGAAACAAACAAAAAUGUUAAGAGUAGGAAUAAGACCACUGGAGCACCUGCAAGCCUGCCUUGUGGGUUGUGGGCUGUUCUGAAAGAGCUGUUGUAGAUGGACCUGAACAUGUUCUGCAUGAGGCCAGGGGACGUGGUCUUCAGGAGCUGUGGCUGCCACAUCUUGUGGAAGUGCUCAUACGUUGCUCAGAGCCCAUGGUCAGUUGUAAAGCUGUCUUACUCUGGGACCUAGGACUAGCCACUAACCAUCCCUAGUCUUCAUUUUCGUCUUUUCUAAAAUGAAAGGAUUUGGGACACAACCCAAAUGUCCAUUGACAGGUGAUUGGAUUAGCAAGAUAUGGUAUACAUACACAAUGGAAUACUACUCAGCCAUAAAAAAGAACGUCAUAAUGCCAUUUGCAGCAACAUGGGUGGAACUAGAGUCUCUCACACUUAGUGAAGUUAAGUCAGAAAGAGAAAGACAAAUGCCAUAUGAUAUCACUUAUAUCUGUAAUCUAAUAUAGAGCACAAAUGAACCUUUCCACAGAAAAGAAAAUCAUGGACUUGGAGAAUAGACUUGUGGUUGCCAAGAGGGAGGGGGAGGGAGUGUGGUGGAUGGGGAGCUUGGGGUUAAUAGAUGCAAACUAUGGACUUUGGACUGGAUGAGCAAUGAGAUCUUGCUGUGUAGCACUGGGAACUAUGUCUGGUCACUUAUGGAGCAUGACAAUGUGAGAAAAUAGAAUGUAUACAUGUAUAUGCAACUGGGUCACCAUGCUGUACAGUAGAAAAAAAAAUAUAUUGGGGAAAUAA
rnacentral:lncRNA from 1 species